rnacentral:rRNA from 1 species
UACGUAGGGUCCGAGCGUUGUCCGGAAUUAUUGGGCGUAAAGGGCUCGUAGGCGGUUUGUCGCGUCGGAUGUGAAAGCCCGGGGCUUAACCCCGGGUCUGCAUUCGAUACGGGCAGACUGGAGUGUGGUAGGGGAGAUCGGAAUUCCUGGUGUAGCGGUGAAAUGCGCAGAUAUCAGGAGGAACACCGGUGGCGAAGGCGGAUCUCUGGGCCAUUACUGACGCUGAGGAGCGAAAGCGUGGGGAGCGAACAGG